AAGAGACAGCAGUCGCCGCGGUAAUACGUAGGGCGCAAGCGUUGUCCGGAAUUAUUGGGCGUAAAGAGCUCGUAGGCGGUCUGUCGCGUCUGGUGUGAAAUCCCGAGGCUCAACCUCGGGCUUGCAUCGGGUACGGGCAGACUAGAGUGCGGUAGGGGAGACUGGAAUUCCUGGUGUAGCGGUGGAAUGCGCAGAUAUCAGGAGGAACACCGAUGGCGAAGGCAGGUCUCUGGGCCGCAACUGACGCUGAGGAGCGAAAGCAUGGGGAGCGAACAGGAUUAGAUACCCGUGUAGUCCCUGUCUCUUAUAC
rnacentral:rRNA from 1 species